CACGUAGGGUGCAAGCGUUGUCCGGAAUCAUUGGGCGUAAAGAGCUCGUAGGCGGCUUAGUAAGUCGGGUGUGAAAACCCCAGGCUCAACCUGGGGACGCCACCCGAUACUGCUAUAGCUAGAGUCCAGUAGGGGAGUGUGGAAUUCCCAGUGUAGCGGUGAAAUGCGCAGAUAUCGGGAGGAACACCAAUGGCGAAGGCAGCUCGCUGGGACGUGACUGACGCUGAGACGCGAAAGCGUGGGGAGCAAACAGG
rnacentral:rRNA from 1 species